rnacentral:rRNA from 1 species
CCUACGGGAGGCUGCAGUGGGGAAUAUUGGACAAUGGGGGCAACCCUGAUCCAGCCAUGCCGCGUGUGUGAAGAAGGCCCUCGGGUUGUAAAGCACUUUCAGUGAGGAAGAACGCCUGGUGGUUAAUACCCAUCAGGAAAGACAUCACUCACAGAAGAAGCACCGGCUAACUCCGUGCCAGCAGCCGCGGUAAUACGGAGGGUGCGAGCGUUAAUCGGAAUUACUGGGCGUAAAGCGCGCGUAGGUGGCUUGAUAAGCCGGUUGUGAAAGCCCCGGGCUCAACCUGGGAACGGCAUCCGGAACUGUCAAGCUAGAGUGCAGGAGAGGAAGGUAGAAUUCCCGGUGUAGCGGUGAAAUGCGUAGAGAUCGGGAGGAAUAGCAGUGGCGAAGGCGGCCUUCUGGACUGACACUGACACUGAGGUGCGAAAGCGUGGGUAGCAAACAGGAUUAGAUACCCGAGUAGUC